rnacentral:rRNA from 1 species
UACGUAGGGGGCAAGCGUUACUCGGAUUCACUGGGCGUAAAGCGCGUGUAGGCGGCUGGUCAAGCGUGGUGUGAAAUCUCCGGGCUCAACCCGGAAACUGCACCGCGAACUGGCCUGGCUGGAGUGCAGGAGAGGGAAGGGGAAUUCCCGGUGUAGCGGUGAAAUGCGCAGAUAUCAGGAGGAACACCGGUGGCGAAGGCGGGUCUCUGGGCCACUACUGACGCUGAGGAGCGAAAGCGUGGGGAGCGAACAGG